rnacentral:lncRNA from 1 species
UGGUGGCUUGUGGGGUGUUGGGGAAGGACACCGGAUAGUUUGAUCGGAAUUCGUCCCGAUUCCGAUUUGCACCUAAAACUAAGUAAAAAUAGGAAGUUAAAACAUAAAAAUGAUGAUGAGAGAGAAGGGAAGCAAGAUUUUACCACAAAUAGACUCAAUUGGGGUCGAGAUUGGCCGAGUUUAAUCCCUGAGCUCGCCAAAUUUUCAUGCCGAGUUUUGGAAGAACAAAAUUAUAUGCAUGCAAGGUUUAAAAAUACAAAAUCACACUCCAACUUUAUCUCAGUUUAACCAUAACCAACACCAAACGAAGGAGACAAUCUAAAUAUACCUGAGAUAG